rnacentral:rRNA from 1 species
AUUGAACGCUGGCGGCAUGCUUUACACAUGCAAGUCGAACGGUAACAGGCCUUCGGGUGCUGACGAGUGGCGAACGGGUGAGUAAUGCAUCGGAACGUACCCAGAGGUGGGGGAUAACGCAGCGAAAGCUGUGCUAAUACCGCAUGUGAUCUGAGGAUGAAAGCGGGGGACCGAGCAGCAAUGUUUGGCCUCGCGCCUUUGGAGCGGCCGAUGUCGGAUUAGCUAGUUGGUAGGGUAAAGGCCUACCAAGGCGACGAUCCGUAGCUGGUCUGGGAGGACGAUCAGCCGGACUGGAAGUGAGACACGGACCAGACUCGGACGGGGAGGAGCAGAGGGGAAUAUUGGACGGUGGGGGAAAGCCUGACCCAGCCGCGCCGGGGGAGGGGUGAGGGCGUUAGGGUAGUAAAGCUGUCUUACCCGGGAUGAGAAUGACGGUACCGGGAGAAUAAGCUCCGGCUAACUCCGUG